GAAAGGCAGGCCUUUGCAUUUAGGAUCCAGUUCCAACUGUGAGAUCACCUCCCGGAAAGCUGGUUUGUCCUGGCUGACAACGGAGACAGAUGGAGAGUGGUGUUUUGUUAUUUCCUUGUGUUUUAAACCUGGACUGCCAGAUCUCCUGACCCUCAUAAAGGCCUCCAAAUCUCCAAACAGACCAUGCCAGCUGCCUCUGGCCCUUGGGAACAUCAUCUGUCAUUGUUUUCUGGUGGUUCCAGUCCUUCCUGGAUGGUUGAUUCCAAAAGGUGAUGCUGGGGACUGCUGUGUGACCUCAUGGACAGGGUUCUGUCUUGUCCACCAUGCUGUCUAACAUCUACAUGAAACUGCCAGGGGAGAUUUUCUACAGGUUUGGACUUCAGUGUCACCAGUAUCAGAUAACAUCCAGCUCUACUUUUUUUUUUUUACCACACUCCAUCCAGGGAAGCUGUAGAAGUUCUGGACUGAUGUCUAUGGUUAGUAAUUGACAGGAUGAAGCCUAAUAAACUGAAACUUAAUCCACACAAGACAGAAGUGCUUUUGGUCAGUAAAGUUAUUGUUCUGGGAACUGGAGUACACUCAUGACUGGAUGAGGGUUUCACUCCUUUUGAAAAUGGAGUUUUGCAGUUUGGGAAUGCUCCUGGACUCAGUAAUGUAUUUGCCCAACUUCAGUUGGUAUGCUAACUGUGCCCAUACCUAGAGACUGGGGAUAUAACCAUGGUGACACAUGCCCCAGUGAUAUUCUGGUUGGAAGUGAUGUGGAUAUUCUGGUUUCCCUGCUAACUGGGCAAAGAGGCACCUUUUACCAUGGUGAUUCUCUUUAUUUAGCGGGGGGGGGGGGAGUAACUGGCCAUAUCCACCCCCAGCACAGUACCUCCAGUGACUGUUGCUGGUGUCUUAUCUUGUGGUUUUUUUUAAGAAUGUGAGCCCUUUGGGGACAGCCAGCCAUCUUAUUUAUUUAUUAUUUCUCUGUGUAAACCGCCCUGAGCCAUUUUUGGAAGGGCGGUAUAGAAAUUGAAUUAUUAUUAUUAUUAUUAUUAUUAUUUAAUAAAUAAUGUGAGGCUGCCUUUUAAGCAUGUUUGGAAACUGAAGUUGGUCCAGAAUGACUGGCCAAAUUGCUGACCGGAGCCAAGAAUUGGGAGCAUGUGAUUACUUUAUAAAACUUGUUUUUCUGGU